rnacentral:rRNA from 1 species
AAAGGCUGCAGUAUUUUGACUGUACUAAGGUAGCAUAAUCAUUAGAUUUUUAAUUUGAAUCUUGUUUGAAUGGUUUUUUGAAAUAAAUUCUUUAUUAUUUUUAAUUAUUUAAUUUUAUGUUUUAGUUAAAAAUCUAAAAUAUUAAAAAGGGACGAGAAGACCCUAUAGAAUUUUAUAAAUUUUAUUUAAUUAUUAUUUUUUUUUAUUUUAUUAAUUAUAUUAAUUUUAUUUUGUUGGGGUGAUAAUUAAAUUUAAUUAACUUUAAAUAAAAAAAAUCAAUAAUAUUUGUAUUAUUGAUCUUUUUUUAUUGAUUAUAAAAUUAAAUUACCUUAGGGAUAACAGCAUAAUAUUAUUAUAAAGUUCCUAUUUUUAAUAUUGUUUAUGACCUCGAUGUUGAAUUAAAUAAAAUUUAUUUUUGAAGUAUAAAAUAAAAUAAGUCUGUUCGACUUUUAAUUAUUUACAUGAUUUGAGUUCAAACCGGUGUAAACCAGGUCGGUUUCUAUCU